CCAAUGUGAGAUGUUCUUUUUAUUAAUGAAGGUGAAAUUAUAGCAGAGUGAUAGGCAACACACAAAUUGCCAGCACAAGUAUGAAUAUAAAACAAUCCAUAGGACAAGUACAGGCACAGAGAGCCCACCUCUCAACAGGAACCACAGGUGAUACCAGAGAGCCCUAUGAUAAAGCAGGACUCACCCAAAGCAAAAGGCCCAUCGGCUCCCACAGUUGAGACAGCAAAAGGCACAUCAGCUCUCUGAGCCCCUCUUCGUGAGUUCCAGCUAUGUGAAAAGAGCAUGGCAACAGGAGUAUUACUUGUGAGAUGGGACUUCCAAAUCCAGACUUCAGAGCAGGCCUAGAUCUGAAGCCACCACUGCAAAAUCUGGCACAAAAUGGCAGGAUAAGUUGGUAAAAGGCAAGUCUCUUCAGAGAUGUUUCAAUCAGGAACACUGAUUCCAGAUUUUAAAAGAACACACAUUUAAAUCAGCAAAAUCACAUUUCACAAGGAACUGGAUGUUACCAAAAAUGUCAAAGAGACCACCAAACAAAACAGUCUCCCUAGGCUUCUGCUCCCAUUUCAUCAAUAAUGGAGAUAAAAGAAUUUUGCCACAUAAGUUAGUUUUAUUAGAGGAUUUAAAAAAAAAAGGCUAAUGGCCUUAAAUGUUUUUGCUUUCCGUUGGGUUUUUAGCUCAGUAGAUUAAUUUCCCAAUGGCAAUGUCAUCAAUUAUUCUUACGGUGGCUUCUGCAUUUUUCCAAUGACACACAUUUACUAAUCAAAUGCUAUAUAUUUUUCCACUACAACUUAUCUUCACUGACUAAAAACUUUACAAACAUAGUUACAUGGCUGAAAUAGUAUAAGUUGUAGGGAGAUGUGCUACCACACGCCUGUAAUCCCAGCAUUCUGGGAGGCUGACACAGGAGGAUCAAAAAGUUCAAACUCAUCGCUUCUCGGCCUUUUGGCUGAGAUUAAGUGCAGAAAGUUCAAACUCAGCUUGGAUAACUUAGACCUUGUUCCUAAACAAAAUAGAAGCACUAGGGAUGUAGCUCUGUGCAAAGGUCCUGGGUUCAGUCUUCAAUAUGGGGUGGUAGUGGGCUAAACAACAACAACAACAAAAGAAGAAGUGGAAAGGAGGGCAUUUUGAUGAAAAAUCUGCUUGAUAAAUCUCUGCUCAAAAAUGACUCUAGCCGGUCACACCUGUUAUCCCAGCAUCUGGGAGGCUGAGGUAGGAGGAUCAUAGUUAGAGGUCAGCCUGGGCUACAUAGUGUGUUCAAGAUCAGCCUAAAUUUCACAGGCGAUCCUGUCUCAAAAAAAAGCUCUAGAAAAGCUGCUCACACUGGUACACAUCUGUUAUUCCCAGCAGAAGGAUCUUGAGUUUGAGACCCUACUUGAACUACUUCAAGUCCAAGACCAGCGUGAACUACCUAGUGACACCCUAUCUCAAGCAAAAAUCAAAACAAACCAAAAAGACCCUAGAAAAGUUAAAAGUCCUACUUGAGAUUAAUUCAGACAUCACUUGCUAAUCCUAAAGAAAGUCUUAUCACCAACAACAGAAGGGAGUCACACAGAUACAAGUGCUCUACAGCAGGCUCUUCCUUGCAUUCUUACUUGGUAGCAAUGCCAAUGCUGACCAUACAAACUUAACACUGUAGAAUUUAAGAUGCCAAAAUUUGUACCUUCAGCUCUAUAUAAUGCAUCAAAAGUUUUAAAAUGCAGGGGGUAUUGUGGCAUAACCCUGUAAUCCCAGCACUCUGGGGGGCUGAGACAAAUUCAAGCCCAGCCUGAGAAAUUUAGAGACUUAGUAAAACCCUGUCUCAAAAUGUAAAUAAUAAAUAAAAAUAAAAAGCCUGGGACUGCAGUUUAGUGAAAAGGCUCUAAAUUUACUCCCCACUACUAUUUUUUAAAAAUUAAUUAAUGAGGGGCUGGGGAUUUAGCUCAGUGCUUCCAGUGCCUGCCGUGCAAGCACAAGGUCCUAAGUUUGAUCCCUGGUACAAAAAAAAAAAAAUUAAUUAAUUAAACCAAGUGUGGUGGCACACACCUAGAGACUGAAGCAGGAGGACUGCUGUGAGUUCAAGGCCAGCCUGUACUCCAACGCGACCCUGUCUCAAAAAAACAAAAAACAAAAGCAAGCAAACAAACAACAAAAAAAAACACAUAGCUUAUUCCAUUCUCCCCAGCAGGGUUUAAAACUUCAAAGUAAAAACAGCAGUCAUCUAUAACUAUGCAUGUUUAACUCUCUCACACAUUAUUUUGUAGGGCAAAAAGUUUUAUUAGGUUAGAAAACUUUGGAAUGUUACAAUCCAGAUGAUCUUGAGGUUAUGCUAGAUCUUAAGUCACUAGAAAGUAGUACUUUAAAAUAUAUAAAUGGGCUCCCAUUAUGAGAAAUAAAACUAUGAACAUGAUAAAAAAAUUUUUGCAAAUCAUGAGAGAAAAUAACACUGAAAACCAAUGAAGCACAGAUGAGGAUAAACCACAAAAGAUCCUAAAUAAGAUGCACUUAAAUUUCAUACUAAAUGAUUUGGUGACAUUCUUAACAAGAUUUGCAACCUAUGGGAAAAGCUAAACAUGUGCUGAACCACUUAUGUCUGUCAAAGUCCCCUCUUUUAGAGUCAAAAUAAAAAGUAUUCAGUAAAACACAAAAGCUAUACAAUAUUUCACUGUUAGAAUUUUUCAAAAAUCCACGUGUAAGAUACAUGCAGAUAAUGCUGAGAAAAGUUGUGCUUUUUUUUGGUACCAGGGAUCGAACUCAGGAUCCUGUGCUUACAAGGCAGGAGGCGGAACCACUGAGCCAAACCCCCAGCCCUUUUCUCUGGAUCAAAAUCGUCCUUCCUCUGGCAAAAAUUAUCCAGAGGCAACAUUUACUAGGAACUAUGCACUCUUAUUCUUUCCUGUUUCACUAUCCUACUGGCUUUUACAGACCUAAAUAACUUUUUUCUGAACCGAAGGCUCAUCCCACUGAGCCAAUGAAAUUCCAUCCUCUGCAGACCCAAGAUACACUGCAUGCAAGAGGAUCCUGGUUUCAAUUCUUGGCCCAUGGCCUUCCAACUGCACUACUGUCUCCUUCAUUUAUUUUGUUAAAGUCCAAAGUGGGGGGUGUGCUAGCCAAAGGACUCCCCUCUUUGUAUUUGUGGCCUUGGACUUAACUUUAGUAAUAAUCUACACUGCAAUCUGUGAACAACCCAUUAAGCACCCCACCCCCCUCAGUACUAGGGAUUGAAUGCAGGGCCUUUGCACUGAACUGUAUUCCCAGCCCCCACUGCUUUUAUUAUUUAUUUUGUGGUUUUUUGUUUGUUUUUUGUUUGUUUUGGUACCGGAGAUUGAACUUGGGUCCUUGCGCUUGCGCAGCAGACAGCAAAACCACUGAGCUAAAUCCCCGGCCCUUAUUACUUAUUUUGAGUCAGAGUCUCACUACAUUGUCCAGGCUAGGUUCAAACUUGCAAUCUUCCUGCCUCAGACUUCCUGCCUCAGAGUGCUGGGAGUAUAGGCAGGUACCACCAUACACAUAAGGUUAAAUUUUAAAAGCUCAUCUCUAUUUCUACCAGGAACUAUCAAGAACCAUAGAGCUUGUUUUCAAACUUACCCUAAAGGACUGAAUCUCACCUAUCAAAAGCUUCCCACCUCUCAUUCCACCAAAACUAAAGUCACCACCAGAAGACAGAAUUACUCUUUCUCCUCUGCCUUAUACCUGUGCCCAGCGCCCAGCCUUACCAGCAAUUUACACAGAUUACAUAAAAGCACUGAAACAAAAUCUGGAAAAGUAAAGAGAGAAAUGUUUUCCCUUGCAGUGCUGGGGAUUGAGCCCAGGGCCUCAGGUAUGCUAAACAAGCUCUCUUUCACUGAGCUAUGACCCAGCCCUUUGGGAGACAUUUAUAAAAAGCAAAUAAGCCAAGAUAUUUUAUAGAAAUUCAAACUGCUGAUAGAUCAUUUUAUAAUUCUAUCUCUCUUUUUUUUUUUUAGUACCGGGGAUCAAACUCAGGUCCUUGUGCUUGUGAGGCAGGCGGCAGAACCACUGAGCUAAAUCCCCAGCCCAUAUAAUUCUAUCUCUUGAUGCUAGCUGCAGUUCUAGAAUUCAGUGGAUAACCUAGUUUGCUUUCAAAUAGUUAUAGGACAAAGAACUGGCUUCCCCCAUACUCAGAAACACAUUUAUGUGAAGACUCCUUCUACUUCACAUUCAGAACAUGACAGUUUCCAAUACCAUAAAUCCCCAACUGAUGAACGAGUUCUGUUCUGGGGCAACAUUCGUGUGGACUUGUAAAUAGUGACAAAGCGAGUCUUAUACUGUUCAUUUAUGUUUCCAUGGUUAUUACUUUGUGCUUCCUAGCAGGGCCCUCCAUAUCACCACUGCCUUUCUUCUUGCUUCUGGCCAUUCUGGACUCUGAGUGAGCACUAUACUACUGUACACUAUCUGACUGUACAGAAAGCACCCAGCAACACAACUGUGACAAUGUCUGGCAGAAAGGGAGCUACUUCCUCCUUUGGUUCACAUCUACAAAUAUUCGUAAUGUGAGGUCCAUUCAUAUCUGUGAAAGUUCACAACUCAAAUGUUCCUAAGUCAGGGGCUUACUGUAUAAAGAGUGAGAGUUAUUUAAACUUUAUGAAAAUAAAAAAGAUGUAAGGUAAAGAUUUAGGAAACCUGGCAAUCUGGCACUAAGGCCAGACUUGCUCACCCAGAUAACAACAUUAAUGAAGUACACAACUAUAACUAUAAUGGCAACAGAAAGUUUCUGUACUCCAAG
rnacentral:lncRNA from 1 species